rnacentral:rRNA from 1 species
UGCGUAGGGUGCGAGCGUUAAUCGGAAUUACUGGGCGUAAAGCGUGCGCAGGCGGUUCGCUGUGUCCUGUGUGAAAGCCCCGGGCUUAACCUGGGAAUGGCAUGGGAAACUGGCGGGCUGGAGUGUGGCAGAGGGGGGUGGAAUUCCGCGUGUAGCAGUGAAAUGCGUAGAGAUGCGGAGGAACACCGAUGGCGAAGGCAGCCCCCUGGGCUAACACUGACGCUCAGGCACGAAAGCGUGGGGAGCAAACAGG